CCCUCGCCCCCCCUACCCUCGCCCCCUCAGAGACACAGCAUUUCAUCCCCUUCAUUUUAAACUCACAGCUGUCAUUUACCCAGCAGCCCCUGUAAUGUACACCAUCAGACUGAUGCAGAUCACUGACGUAGGCCACAUGCACAGCAGCGAGAUCAAGGCCCUUAAACGCAACAGCUUGCUACUGUAACGAAGGUAACAAAGAGUUUGUUUUUGAAUGUUUGCUGUGAACAUUUUUUCUCCUUGUGAAUAAAAAAAUAAGUGCUUUAAUCCUCACCUGACGUCAUGAUGCUGCUGCUGCUGCUGCUGCUGCCGCCGCUUAGGCUGCGUUCCAUUAAGGUGAUUUCUGUCCAGUGUUUACUCGUUCAGUUUGGGACCAGAUCUGAUGCAAAAGUAAGAUUCUCUGUGCUCGUCUGCAGGAACCGUUGUCGGCCUCACGGCACCCGGACGUUUUCCCUCCAUUUCCUGUCUUUUCCCCCUCACCGUUGUCCAGUUGUCAGAAAGUGAGUAAAAUGUGCGACUUUACCGGCAUCACGGUUGUGGUUCUCUGCACCUUUCGUUCGACUCUUCACACCUCUGGGCCAAUGAGAUCAGAUCAAAUCACCUCGGUGUUGACAGAAUCACGACACGGCACAUAUUUUUCCCCUCACUGUGGUUUAAUGGCCUUGGUUUUACAGAGAGACACGGGUGUUCAGACCAUAAACGAACACUAGGUGUCAGCACAACAAACUUUUCUGUUGACACCAGGGAACGUGGGGUCAGAGGUCAUGCAGAAGUCAAAUAAAGGAUAAAAUAACAUUGAACGUCUGAACUUUUCUCUGCCAAUUAGAUAAAACAAAAAGUCUGUCUUUUUCCCCUUUGUUUUAAUGCGUUCGAUAAAUCACCUUCAUAAUUUUACAAAACAUUUUCUGAAUGGGCCGAAUUUAAACGCCAAGCGGGCCAGUUUUGGCCCGUGGGCCGUAUGUUUGACACCCAAUGCCUUAACUGGUCUUAAAUGUUUCAAAACUAUUCUAACAUUGUGCGGCAGUUAAACCCACGUCUGUCUGGUUUUGAUUCCGUUCAGUCUGACUUGUUUAUAUUUGUUUUGUUUUUUUUUCCACCCUGUAGAAGGCGCCGGGUUUUUACUUGCCUUGCAAAGAGUUGCUGGUUCAAAUCUGGGUAGUUCUUCACUCCUCACCCCGACAGAAAGAGUUGCAUCAGGAAAGCUGCAGAGUGGAGAGGCUACGACCGGAGUCUAGAUCGGAUUAGUCCAGAUUAGUGUAGGAGUUUCUGCUCAUCCCAGCAGCAGUCACCUGGAGACAAACGGAAUCAGAGCAAAUUAUCUGCCCGGUCGCAGCCGUCUGUUUGUAGGAGGGAAUCCAGGAGACAGAAACGAGGAAUAUGAGGAGCUGAUGACUGUGAGGCCUCCCGCUGCUGCUUCAGAGCCAACGAUGAGUAAUGGAAGGGGGUUCAAAACCCAAGACAAGCGAGGCGGUGACGUGGGGCAGACUCACGUCCUCGCACCUGUGUUUGGUCUCGUCUGGACUGAAGGUUCUCCUCCGACGUCAGAUCCUUGUUGGAAAGCAGCGCUGCAUUAAUAAUCCACUGAUGUGAAGCCCACCGUCCUCACUCACUGAGGGGGGAGGAGUGAGGGGGCUCCUGCUCAAGUGAUGACGCUGCAGAUAUUUGGAUGAGUUACAGCGUGGAGCCAGGAAACGUGGCGAGCACCGAGAAACAGCCGUGCCGCCGCUCCGGGACACACACGGACUCAUCUGAACCACAUCACAGCAAAUCAUCUGGACGGAAGCGCUGAAGCUGAUUGGCUGCCGGACGGCCCGUUGACCACGUGUUGACUUCAUUUGUCGCCACUGAGAGUCGGCUCAUGUCAGAGAGUCUCCCUGGUCCUGCAUUCGGGUCCUGCCUAAUUCCUGCCAUGACGACAGAUGACACAAGCAACAGUUUGAAUAUUACAGCUCGACUGCGACUCCAUGAAAACAUGAUAUAACUCCUAAAACGGUAAGCUAAUUUGUCUGUGUUAACUUUUCCCGAUUGUUUUGAUUAUAUAGAAUAUAAAAUAUAGAAAAUAGUUCAAUGUUUUAGUGUAAUAAUCGUUUUAUAACUGCAGGCGUACCCGCCCGCACCAACGGCCGCAUCCCUCAGAUUAAACCCAGACCACGCUUGAUGUUCUGCCACUAUCAUCCAAAUUGUGUAUUUUUCAAAUUAUUUCACUUCUGUCUUCGUGUUGAUCUGGUUUGUUUAAUUAUUUUUUUUUUUUUGCAAAAAGUGGACUGGCAUUUUGUGUUUAAGAGUAAAAGCUUUAAGUUAAUAGUCUAUUUGUGUCUUGCAUUUUAAGGCAUUUUGGGGACUUUUUAUUUUUUGGGAUUUUUUCACGAUGGUAAGGCUAUAGUAAGGCGUGUUUUGGGUGAUUUUUGAAAUAUU